CCCAGAAAUAUUUUUGAGACUGAAGCUCCCAGAUAGUCUCUGCAAAUUGAAAUCUAUACUUUAUUUUCCUUUCCAAUCACAGGAAGAAUGACCCAGAAUGAAAAACUCUAAUUCUUCAGGAACUAUCCUAAGAAGAGGACAGAGUAGACUGAGAUGAUUGCUGACUAAUCAUUUAUUAUUAGACUUGAUGAAUGCUCGCCAGAUCAAAAGGCUUUAAAUAAUUCACAAUAGUCCUGAAAGACAGAGCCUGCCUCAUAUAUGACCCAAAACAGUGUGUUUAAUGUCAGGAUUUACUUUCAUUCUCUUCAAAAAGAGAAAGGCUAAGACUAUGUAUUUCUAAGAUCAUUUCCUGCACUAAUAAUCUAUGAUCCUGUAACGUGGGGUUAUAAUAAUGGUAAGAAAGCCACAGUAACCUUCUAGCUCAUUAAAAAAAAAAUGCUAAUCAGCAGCGCUUUCACCUCUCUGCAUCCCACUUGCUUCUGAGCAAUAGCAAUACAGCUGCUUUCUUUGAAUGCCAGGGAUUAUCCUAAAUAUUUUGCCUCAGUUCAGUUUGUUCUCACCACAACCCUACAAGGUUGUCACUAGUCAGUCAUAUUCCUAUUUGUCAGAAGAAAAAGCUGGAGCACAGAAAGUUAGCAAGCGGCAGAACCAAGAUUUAAACCCAGACGGUCUGGUUCCAGACUUUGUGCAAGGCUAUCCGUAGACAAUACUGUAUGUGAAUGUGUGCAUAUACUCCAGAAUAAGAAACCACCAAUGGCUCUCAAGAAUGCUACAUUCCUU
rnacentral:lncRNA from 1 species